GCUGAAUGGUGGCUAAUGCGGACUGUCUCACCACAGCCACGUUGAGUGUUUGCGGGUUAAACAGUCAGAACGUGGCCUCUUCUUAAAAUACCUCUCCUCUGAAAACCUCUCACGUGCUCGCACGAACACAAGUAGACGAGCAGGAGCACGUUCAGACAGACAGGCGAUCGGUUCAAAACCAAGCCACGUGCUGCCUCUCAUCGCUCAGCCUGUGUGCGACUACGCUUUGCCAACUCGCGCAGGCUGCAGCCCAAACAUGUGACGCUCAACUCUGAGGGGGUAUGGAUCGGUUCCUGAAAGCCAUCCUGAUGGACGUGAGGAGCUGUGACGCUGAGGAACAGUGCAGGACAAACACAGUAGGCAGCAUUGAUCAUCAUACACCCUGUGCGGCACAAAGUGGUAUUGAGAGGGGGGCCAAUAUGUGACAUUGAUUGGUGGAAUAAUGGGGCUUCAAGAAGAGUUGAACACAAAGAGCGAGCGCCACAGACGAGGGGACGACAGCUGGACGCCGUGAAAGUGGCUGCGUGUGGACUUUGGGCUUCUCGCGUCCGUCUGUCUCACUGCCUGUGGAGCGACGGCCGCCACGUUUCCAACCAUGCAUGCGUGAGGAACGUUACACAGCUGCUGCAUCACGAGCCCAGGUUCUGGUCGUCUCUGCGUCUCUGAGAGCGCGGACGUGUUUGUUUGCGUGAGAGACGGAGUCGGACAGAAGACCACCCCCCAUCACAGCAGUGAUGUAGUCCAGCCAUCAGACUUCCAUCAAACAUGCGUCAGGUCUAACUGCUACUUAAACCGAAACGCAGGAAUCUCACUGGAGGCAAAUUGCAGCUUGUAGCUUGUGUAGCAGCGGCACAGACGCGAGAAGACGAGGGUCCGGUUGGAGCGGCGGGUGAUUCGUAUGCUCAACACGGCACCUCCCCAGAUUUACAGACCGAUGGAUCGGAUCCUGCCUCCUUCUUUAUAUCUGCACGUGAAUACGAAGCAGAAAAACACAAUUUCAUCUGAAUCCAGGGUCUUUGCAGGGAUGAGGAAGUCUUUGAGGAAACAACUGCAUUUCAUUUUAAAACCACUGAUUCCAAACAUACCUGCAUGUAUAUGGAACAUUUAACACAGAACAUUCAGUCGCUUUGGUAUCUUUUUGUCUUCUUCUGAUUGAUAUAUUGAUCAAUGGGAUCCUCCUGUGAAGGUGCUGUAUUUCCCCUGUGCCUUUGGGUCAGAGGCUCGUCCUCAGUCGCUCCAGUUGUUUUCCAGUUCAUCAUCACGCUGACACACCGUGACCUCAGGACAACAGCAGCAGCGAGGGGGCAUCGAUAUGUGACAACACGAGCGUCUGCACAACCUGACUCUUGAAGAGCAUCACAAGAGGGUGGACAGGAUGUGUCACGUGACUGACUCUUCAACACGUGUUCCUUUAAUCCCUCCAUAAAUGAACAGAUUCCUCCUCAGCACGCGUGGAAAAGUGUGCCAUCCGUCGAGGCUUUCCUUCUUUGUUGAGAUCCUGGCAUUAAAUUAGGGAUAAAUCUAUUAGAUUUGUUUUCUCAAUGAGCCAUUAUUUAUCUCUAUUCUGAAUUCAUGGGAACAGAAGCAGGUGUAGUUGGUUUUUCAUUAACACACUGAAGGCAGGGACACAAUUAAGCGGCGCACACAUGCUCGUGUACCAGCUGUUCCUUGAGCUCUUGCAUGUAAUUGCGUGAUGAUGUGUGUUAGGUAAACUGUAAAAUCCUGACUUUGAUUUGCAUGUUGCUGUUGUGUGGCUCCGUGUUUCGGGCUGGAUUUUGUCAUUGCUCAACAGUAAAAUCGGCAGGAGAGGGAAGUUUAAAAUGGGUGAAGGAGAAAGAAGGGAGGAAAAACGAGGACGCCUUUGUCAAGAGGAGCGAGAGGGAAUUCGGGAAGGCAGAGCUGAAGCUUCGCCAUCACAGACAGAGGUGGAUGUGGAAGUACAAGGACCCACAAAAGGAGGUCGAAGAGAUUAUGAAGGAGGCAGAAAAGGCAGCAGAUAGUGAGUUCCCACGGCAGGUAAACAGUGAUGGAGCAGAGGAGAGCGAGCAGCUGUGGCAGCAGCACGGAGGUUAUAAUGAAGGACGGGAGGAAGAGGCUGGCCCCUAAUGGGCCCAUGACACGUGUGCUGGAGUAAACACAUGGAAUGUGGCCGGUGGAGGAGGGAUGGACGGAGCGAAUGAGCCGUCGACGGCGUCCCAUCAGCUCCCCGUUGUCUCGCCUCGCUCUCGUCCCGCCCCGCGGCGCCGACAGCUCCUGAUAGAGCCGUCCUAAUGGGAGCACGCGGUGAUUGACAGCCGCGCACAGAGCUGACAGCACGUAAAGGUCACAUUAGCGCCCGCUGAGAUGGAUACCGCCGAGCGGAGGGACGGGCGACAGUGGGAGGAAGCAGGUGAGCGAGAGAGGAGGAAAUGUCAGAAAGCCUGGAAGCGGGAGACGGCCGCCAUCAAUGGAGAGGAGGGAAGUACAAAGGACGGGUCCAUGUGUGUAAAGCAGUAGUUUGUAGAACAAUCUCACAGAGAAGCUUUUCCUUCUCCUUCCACUACAAAAUGCUCUGGCUUGGUUUCACGGCCUCCCAUCGCUCAGCGCUAAAGAGCAGGAGAAGCUAAUGGCAACCGCUGAACGGUGGAGUGUUUGCUGUACUGACGUCUCAGACUGAGACCUCGCUGCCUGUCAGGUGGAGAAAACACACGUCUGAAGGAAUCCCAGUGUUUUUGUGGGUGAUGUUACCGUUUGACUGCGUCCAGUGUGCUGCAGCGUCAUGCAGACACACACUGUAGCAGGAGAACGGCACACGUACUGUACAGUGACCUCAGAUGGGAGUGUGUUUCUGUGAAGUGGCCUCUUUGUCGAGGCUAUUUUCCAGAAGGGUUAAUUAAAUCACCGCUCUGAUCAAUCAGGUGGCAUUAAUUCAGUGUUUUGAAGCCGACGUCCUGUUAAAGUCGAACACGCUGAUACGCUCUAAUUGCCCACUUUUGUUCUGCUCGUCCAUUGUUAAACUCGUGUUUUGUUGGGUUUCUCAUUGUGUGAAAACUCCGGUUUGCUGUCGCGACGGAGCAGACGUCUCCGUGCUGCGCUCCCGUGUCUCCGCUGCAGCCUUGACCUUUCACCUUCUGCACAGCAGCUCUUCAGCUCUGACGGCGACGGCAUCAUGACAUUUCAUUGUGGAUCUGGAGACGGCAAUGAGACGCCUUCUGUUUCCUCCUCCCGCUCCUGCUGCAUCUCACCCUCCUCCCUUUUCUCACCCCUCGCUACUCGUGUGCAGUUGGUGCGUGGACAGAUAUGUGUUUGUGCGUACAUCUGCUUAUUGUGGAGCUCUCCACCUGUGUCUGCGAGGUCCCGGCCGUGUUCAGGGCAAAGGAACGCAGUCAGUACAACUUGCUGCAGUUGUUUGCGCGUGACAGUGAGGGACGACGGAGCGUUUUCAUGCAUAUUUGUGUUUGAGUGAACGUUUGAGGCGAGAGACGGAGUUUGGGAGUGUGUUUACUGCUGUCGGUGGCCAGAUGGCUGUGAAAGCUGCAGCAUCAUUUCAGAACAGAGGAAAUCAGCUUUACACAGAGGAUGGUGUGUGUGUCUGGGAGCCCUUCACACUGAGAUCCGCAGGGGAGUGUGUGUGUGUGUGUGCGUGUGUGUGCGUGUGUGUGUGUGUGUGUGUGUGUGCUCCUGGCCUUUUGUCAUUACGAGCACCAGGAAUCCUCCAAACUCAUUUUGCAGGUCAUCACUUUGAAAGGGCGAGCGGUGGCUUGAGGUGAGGGCCGGAUGAAAACGCUGCUUUAUUACAACUAGGAGCUUGUUUGUGUAGUUUUUACCACCAACGGAAGUGAAAAACUCUUGUUUCUAAAUUUAUUAGGAAAGUCGGGUAGUGAUACGCUGCUACAAAAGAGCCCAACUUUCAGUCAGGUUGCAGGAAAUAAUCAGCUUAACAACGUAAACAGAGCUCAGCAGGGAGCAUUUUCACCAGAGAAACAGUCCAGAGGGGAUUUGUUGGAUAUCAACGGUUUAAAGAGCUCAUGUUCCCUGUCUGUUUCAUUGCCACGUCCUUCCAACGCCUCCUCAGCUGCAGCUGAGCCUCUGACUGUCCCUUCAUCCUGGUCCUUUCCUUCUGUUCUACACGUCCACGCUGCGUCUCUACUGUGAAUGAGCUGCAACUGAGAUGUGUUUUCCACUGAUCCAUGGAAGAGUUUACUGAAGUGACUGAAACGUCUCCCUUCAGCGAAUCACUAAACACCAGUGGAAUGUCGUCACAAGGGCACAGGACACAUGCAUGUUUCUGACUGUAUCUGCAUUACAAUGAAGUCAUGACAUUUAAAGACUUCAUUACUCUGUGAUGAAUGUGUCCCUCUUUGCUAAUUUAUAGAGUCCUGAUCUGAUGAAUGAGGACGAUAAAAGUAGGAAGGUUGGACGAGAAAGAGGAUGAAACACGUAGAUGUUUGAAGUAAAGAGUAAAGAGAAGCUGCCUGUCGCUGCUCCAUCACCAAACAGCCCAUAGACGAUUCUGCUGAAGAGCUCGACAGACGUCACCAGAGGCGCCGACAGAGAAACAUCAGCUCGGCCACGCUGCCCGGAGACAGACGCUGAAGUUUGAUCUGGUACCUGUGUAAUGAAUGGGAGUCAGCGGAGCGGCAUCUGCAAAGCAACGCCGCGCUCUGAGAUGUGCGGCCGAAAGAAAAACAGGCCUAGAUGGUGUCGGCUUUGAUAAGUCUCAACGUGUCAACUGUGAGGCAUCUCAUCUCUCAGCUGCUAUCGAUUGGCCUCAAAGAGUGAAGAAGAGGGGAUAAAGGAGGAAAAGAAAGAUGAUAGCGAGAGGAGAUAAGAGGGAAACGCAGACCUGGGGAGGAGGUGAGGGAAGGAUGCGAGAGAAGGAGGCCAGAAAUGAGUCUAAGUGAAAGAGGAUCUGACAAGCAGGAGUGGAGGAGGAGAGAUGAAAGAGCAGGAGGCGCGGGGACCAGUGGAAACGAGGAGCAAGGCGGAAAAGCACUUUCCUCUGAGGCGGCGGGCGUGAAGGAGAGAAGAACGAGGCCGAGGCGAGCGGCGUGAGCGGAGGAUGGUCCUGUGUGGACGUGAUGAACGGGAACCCUCAAAGCGGCCACUUCACCCACUUGGGCUGCAGCUUCGUUAAUGGAAACAUCCGUCCCACGGUGGGAAGGAGUCCGGCCUCCAUCGGUUCAAAGCCCACGCACCCGUGUACAGUAGGUCUGUACAGUCUGCGCUGCGCUGGGCAUUCAUCCAUGUAGGGAAACUACAUUUGGGAUGUUGGGACUUAAUAAUAGACCCUUUGGUGCCACAUCAUCCAUUCUCACUGUCCUCUUUAUACCAACGAGAUCUAAUUGAAUCUAAUUGGGACAAUUAAAGUGAAAUUGAACCAGAAGAAUUUAUUGAACCAGUUAUCUGUAGUAAUUAGGCAGUAAUUGGCCCAUUGUUAUCGGUACGUGUCCUGGAAGGGCCCACAAAGGCCGGAUGCGUCGUGGUUCUGUACACGGACGCGUUGAACUGUGUUUUCUGUUCGUGGGCAGCAGCAUCACUGAGGGUUCACUUCCACUCAUCAUCCUCUAGCUGUUGACGGUCUCAUCCUGAUGCGUCUACUCCCAGGCAGCAUAUUUGCUCCACGAGUAUUGAUUGAAAUCACAUUUACUCACCACACGUUGACAAAAACUAAAUUAAUACAGCCGGCUGAGAAGGAGGGAGGAAAUGAGGAAAGGAGGCGACUGGAGAGGUCAGAUGAGUUAAAUGAGAUGAGAUGGUGGCGCACAAUAAACAGCAGGACGGUGAUUAAAGCUGGCGACGGCCCAGCGGACGUCAGGGCUUCAUGUUUUGGUGGUCUCUUUAAAAAGCUCCUAAUGCUGGAGCCAAAAGGAGCAUGGGCCUACAGACUGACACACAGACCAAGCUACAGACUGACCUACAGACUGACACACAGACUGACCUACAGACUGACACACAGACCUAGCUACAGACUGACACACAGACUGACACACAGACUGACCUACAGACUGACCUACAGACUGACCUACAGACUGACACACAGACCUAGCUACAGACUGACCUACAGACUGACACACAGACCUAGCUACAGACUGACACACAGACAGAAUUACAGACUGAAUCACAGACUGAGCUACAGACUGAAUUACAGACUGAAUUACAGACUGAGCUACAGACUGAAUUACAGACUGAAUCACAGACUGAAUCACAGACUGAAUCACAGACCGAGCUACAGACUGACACACAGAUUGACUAAUAGACUGACCCGCAGACUGAAUUACAGACCAACCUGUAGACUGAUACACAGGCUAACCCUCGGACUGAGCUACAGACUGAAACACUGUGUUUAAUAAUUAAAUGAGGAAAGCUCAGGUUAUAGGGAGAGACGUGACCUGGACUUAACCUUUAUAUACUUGUAUUCUCAAGUUCCAACCUGACCCAGAGCGAUAACCUUAAAGCUUGUCCUUAAUUUGCGCCUUUCAAGUUCAAACAUCCCGAGCAGCACUUUCCUCUACCAGACAGUUGACAUUUGGAGCGUGCUUUGUGACUUCUGUGUUAAUUUCACCUGAAAUCCAUGGUGGUGAGGAAUGUGCAGCCCCGAGGCUCAGCUUGGGAAAAUAAAGGUGCCACAUUACCGUGCUUUGUUACCAGAUACAAAUUCAAAUGAAAUGGUAAAACGCUAAAUUACAAUAAGUAACAAACUCAAAACAACGGUGAACGUGUGUCUGGGGAGAAGCUUUACUGCAGCAAUGCUCUCAAAAUCGAGCAGAGGAACAAGAAGUUGAUGAUCCCUCAAAGCAGAGGACACAACAAUCUGAGCACGGAACCUGAGUGUGAAAGGGGAGAACACAUGCCGUCGACACCUUUGCUGCUCGAGGAGCUUUUAAUCCACUUUAAUUUGCAAGUAGGAGCAACAACUGUUUCUCAGUGAUUCCUGUCCCUUCUUUCAACAACAGAGACGUGUUUACAGUAAUGCAGAAUGAGAGCGGAUCGUUUUUUCUGGUGCCUUUGUUCCGGCCUCUCGCGGUACCGCUCAGGAGACGGUCCCGUCUCCUUCCACAGCAGCGCCAGAUCACAGGAAGCAGCAACGAGAGGCGGUCGACGGGAAGUGGGCCUUUAUGGCUCCUAGUUCAAUCCAACUCAGAAGCGCGAGGUCUGCGUGGCCGCAGGUCUGCGCCGGUGGACGCCGUCACCACCAUGUCUUUAAACGAGGCAGCUCACGUCGCCACGGCGUGCGCUUCCUGCUCUUUGUCUCUCGAGGAGUCCACAUCUGCAGCUCGCAGCCACAGCGGGAGGACGGGCCUGCACUGACGCGGCCACGUCCCGCUUCCUCGGCGGCGUCCCGCUUCCUCGGCGGCGUCCCGCUUCCUCAGCCGCGUCCCGCUUCCUCGGCGGCGUCUCGCUUCCUCGGCGGCGUCCCGCUUCCUCGGCCGCGUCCCGCUUCCUCGGCCGCGUCCCGCUUCCUCGGCGGCGUCUCGCUUCCUCGGCCGCGUCCUUCCACUUUCCCUCUCGUUCUAAUCAGGCUUUUGGCUUUCUCUGUGCUGUCUUUAUUCUCAGUAGGACCUGCUUCUUCUUCUCCUGCGAGGACGGAAACACCUCCAACCUCUUUUCCUCGCCACUGUUGGAGUGGUGUUUCAGUGGCUUCGUGUUUUCCUGAGGGGUCUGUGUCAGACUGCCUGAGGUAGCGUCCCCCGUCAGGCUCACAUCCCCCCUCCCCCCCUUCCCUCAGUUCUGUCAGCUGCCCUCCCACCUCUUCUUCUUCCUCCUCCCUCCAUUUUGCUCAAUAUUCCAUCUUAUCCCCAUGGGAUUCCCAGGCCUUAAUUAUUCAUUGUAAUUUGUAGAUUAAUUCUGCAUGGCUUCCUCCCUCAUCACACACACACACGCACACACACACACACACACACACACACACACACACACACACACACACACACACACACACACACACACACACACACACACACACACACACACACACACACACCAGUUCCUUUGCCUCUUUUUAUUUCUUACUUUGUGCCACCGCAGGCGUCUCUCUGCUGCUUACCUUCCCUUCAUCUUUCCUUUCCUGCCGCCUACACCUUCCUUCCUCCUUCCUCUCUCUCUCCCUCCAGUCCUCCAUGUCCGUCCCACAUUUACCUUCUCCUGAUGCUCGCUGCUUCUUUCUUUUGCUCCUCUCGUAGGUGCUUCUGUUUUCCCUCCCUACCUGUACCUGUUCUUUCCUCCCCUCCUCCUCCCCCCUCACUCCCCUCCCCACCGGUGACAGGUUCCAUUAUCAUGUUUCUCACGGCUCGCCUGCUCUCCUCCUGAUGGAUGACCUCACACGAAUAUUAAUUUACUAUAGCAUUAACAAUACCACAUCUUAUUCUACACCCCCCCCCCCUUCCGUCUGCCUCUCUCUCUACCUGCUCUACCCUCUAAACACCCUUCAGCCACUUCUCUCAUUUGCUUUUACUCUUCUCGUGACUUCAUCUCUCUGUGUACUCUUGUCUGCAGUCGCGGAAGCCCUCACAUCACUGACUAUGCAGGCAAAGACAGUGACAUUAAUACAUUCUGCUAACUCAUUGCAGCUAAUCCUUCUAUUUUGAUUCUAGAUGGAGUCUUAACACAAACACAAACAGUAAACAGUGUGUACCUUUCAGGACUACAACAUUAAAUUGAAUGGCAUUUACCGAGGCCCAAUGAAAUCAUUUUGUGAAGCCAAACAGUGAAGCAAUCUACAUAAUUCAUACUGAGCAUCAUGACUCGCAAUGCAUAAUGGAAAUGUUGACUGAAAGGGUGGUGCAUGAUGUAUAGAUCGGUGGUGUGGGCACUAAAGCUGCUGACAUGAGAGGAGAUGGAGAGGAGUGAAGGAGAGAUGAUGGGAGGGAACAGGCCGCUGCUCAGACCUCGGCUUCCUGGACUCUUUCUGCUCCCGCUCACAACCUCCACUGUCGCUCCCACUGUUUUACAUUCUCUCUUUUUCUCACGCGCUUCCCACUUUUUAUCCCAUCAUCGCUCUUGUUGUCUUCAGAGGCUCAUGUACGCGGUAUUUAUCAUCACCUGUCCAGGUUGAUUUGAUGGGCAGGACACGUCUCGGGGCUCGGCUGCUGCAGCCAGACGAUCACAAGGAUUCAUGCUCACUCACCUUCCGUAGAAAAAAUGCACUUAAUUUGCAUUAAUUUAUACAUAUUACGCCUGAGGGCAAAAUGGAAACACAUUAGGAAAGUGCAAAUUGAUUUAAAAAAUCGAAACCUGAAUCUGUCAUUGCAGCCGUGGUUUGUUUACAGCCUGGACAGGUCAGAAACAGGGGAGAACAUUUAAACUACACACAAGAAGACAGAUAUAGAUACUAACACUCAUCUUUAGUCCUGGACUCACCAACCUCACUCAUCAUUACUGAUACAUUUUCCACAAAAAACAUUAGGAAAAAGUGUCAGCAGUGAUGAAAAAGUCAUUCUAUUUUCAGGUCCUUUAUUUCCAGCUAAUGGGCUGACAAAUCUACUGACGCACUUCAGAGUGAAACCUCUAUUACAGCACACUGUGUGUGACAUCUGUGAGUUUCCUUUUUAAAGGACAUCUGUAGACAAAAUCUGAUUUCUACUUUUCGGUUCUUUCCUCCCUCCUGGUCUCAUCCUGUGCCGCUGCGGCUGGUGAGGAGCUCUGAAAGUCUGCGGCUGAAAUAACAAUGCGUUUUAAAUCUGUGCUGGGCUAAUUGCCGUUAGGUAUUUAGAGCAUAAUGCAGUAUACUGUAUGUAUAUCCACCUCAAAGCAGAUGCAAAUAGAGGGAACACUUAACAAACACAGAUGUGGAGCCUUUAGUCAAAGGACUCUCUUCUCACCUAUUACUGUAUGUGCUCACGUGCAUGACAGCAUUAGUGAUGACCUUUUCCAGCCGGUGAAUUACCUCCAGAAGAUUACAAAGGGAGCAGAAAACAACAAAGAGAGCAAAUCUGACAGUUUGAUGGAAAAAAGAGCAGCGAACGGAUCAUUAGUAGGAAAAGCAGGCGGCUAAAAUAAUAGUACUGAUGAAUGAUGUGUGUCAUCGUGCAUAUCUGCAGUGAAUGAAUGAGGAGGGCUCCGUGUUGUGUGUUCUAUAGGAGAGACAAGGAGCCACGACGCUGCAAACAGAGCAUGGUCGACUAUCAGAUACAGGCUCUUCAUUACAUUGAUACAAAGUGGAGUUAAUGUGCACAACACAUAAGAGUGUCCAUUAGGCUCAGACAAAGUGGAAAGGACAGAGGAGUGAGAUUAGACCCGAGUCAGCUAUUACAAGGUUGAGUUAACAACUCAGAGGCCCAACGCACUAUAAUUUGUCUUAGAUGAAACCUCACGGCGCAUUCACAACAUCAGGUUCAGGAGCAAAUCCCACCUACAGCCCUUCAGUGAAAGGAACAGGUCCGACCACGAAGGCCACAGGUUGAAGGAGGGGAGCAGUUGUCUCGAAUAUAGAACAUCCUGUUUUCAUUCAUUUUAAGAAAUGCAUUAAUAAACUGGGUUUUCAUACGUUCCCUUGUACAGUUUGAUGCCAUGGACAGUGCAGGACACUGAGCCGGCACCUCCGCCUGCAGGACCUCCCUCCUCAGUGUGAACGCUCUGAGCCACUGUUCUCCUCUAGAACUAAGUGCUUGUUUGUUAAGUUUGUUCCAGCCCCCGUUCGUCUGCCAAGCGUAAUACACUGGAGCUAAUACACUGUAUCCUAGUGUGGAACCACAGUGAAGCCAUGCGUGGUGGUGAUGUGAAGUCACACUGAGCCAAGGUUUAUACAAGAGGCUUCAUGAAAGGAAAAUCAGGUAUGUUUGUCUGACGCCUCCAAAUGAAUGCGCCACCUGUGCCAAGAGCCGCUGCCUCUGCUGCGCGCGCUCAUAUCUGCGCAUUUGAUCGCGCCUUUCCUUUCAUCUGUAUCUUAUCGGUCCGCUGAAGAGAUUCCACGUUCAAAACAAAUUCUGCUCUUGGAGUGCGUUUGCUCGUUGAUUGUAGCCGCCGAAGCGCCCGCUUUAGUGGAAGCAGGUGCGAUAGGCGCAGAUGAGCCGGAGCGCCUUGGGAGCUCCGCUGACGCCGCUGGUUUGUGGGCUGAGGCUCCAGACGGAGGCAGAGGACAGAUCCAGUCACAGGCCGUGUGUGCAGCCGUGGCCACUUACUCGUUCACUUCCUCUAACGAAGAAACGGGCCCAAUCAGUUAUGGAGCUGAAGCCCAGCGGUAUAAGACACACACACACACACACACACACACACACACACACACACACACGCACGGCGUCUGGACCCGACACACACGCAGCAUCUGGCUGAGAGUUAACUGUUUGGCCUCAAGCAAAAACCUUUUAUGUCUCCGAGCUCCCCGAGCACUCGGAGGAGAGAGGCUCGGCUCGGCUCCGGCUGAUAGAAUCAGGCUGCUGAGAGCUACUUCCAGCUACACCUGCACACUCUUGUGGGUGGAACGCUGUCCAGUGGUGGGGAUGCGUGUUUGCCCACUGGGAGCUGCUUCUCGGGGAUGCAUUGUUGUUCCUGGCAGCUCUGGGAUGGUUUAAAUCCAGCCGUCCUGGGGAGGAAGCUGCCUUUUCUUUAAAUAGCCCCUGUCUAUUUGCAGUAAACUGAAACACCUUGGUGUGUUUUACACAGGUACUAGUAACCCAGCAUUAGCUGCCUGAUGCACUUACUAAUGGAAAAGUCUGGACGUGCCUCAUCUACUUUUGCUAAUGAACGAGUUAGACUCAUCAAGUUGAUGCGCAUCAAGUGCAAAAUGAGCAUAAAUGAUUGCGGUCACAGAUUCAAUUUUCUGCAGGAGAGUGUGUGUGAGUGAGACGAUGAGAAGCUGGAGGCGAAGCGGCGAUGAUGAUGAUGGUGCUGGAGGAGGAAGGAGUGAGAGACGGACUCAGAUCGUUCAACCCGGUGGCCACGUCCUCAGCAGGUCACGUAUGAACCCACACAAUAAAGGCAGAAACUGAGACUUUUUAUAUAAAAAAAAAACAAACAAACACCAGCCACUUCUCAUGAAUAUUUGGUGGACUGAACUAAGUGACAUGUUACACGCUGUAACAGCCUUAAAGCUGCAGGCUUAUUGUUUCAGGCUCUGUGGCACAGAGGAAUAAUCUGUAUCUGGCUUUGACUAAGCAAGCAGCUCAGCAGGAUCAAUUGUGUUGCUGGUCUUCUAAAAGAGAUUUAUUGACACUAAAAAAAGAUAUAGAGCCUCAUCAGUCUUAUCCUGAGAACCUGAUAUUUUAAAACACGGUUUGCAUCGUAAGCAGGCGCGCGGAGCCCCUCGUUCCUCUGCUGUUUAGUCACAGAGGCUUUGGUUUAGUGUUCGCUACAUGGUGAUUAAACGUUAAACCAGUGGCGCCAGAAAUCAACCGGGCUCGAAGCGAGAGUGUUUGUGGCGCGUCGCUGUGCGUCGAGCACCUCGCUAACAGGUGCUGAGUGGCUGCACGUCGCCGUGGAGACACAGAUGCUGAGGCGCCGCCGCUGUAAUCGCCUGGACGUUUACCGGAGGACGUCCCUGCUGAGAUGAACGGCGGGCGACGACAGGCCGCCGCAGACGUCCUCCCAGGUCCGAGCUCAGUGGACCUGAGGCGCCGACACGCAGGCACGGCGCUUGUUUUGGCUGAGAGCAGCCUGGACCGACACCGACACUGGCGUAAUGGCCGCUCCAGGCCAUUACUCUGCUGGACCCCAGGGAGACUAAACAGGAUGAUAAAAACAUAAGAGCAAUAGAAAACCUGAGUGAGCGUCGGUGAGGAGAGAGAAUGUAAUACUGAUAUAUUUUCCAAAUCGAUUGAUGCCUGAGUAAAUGUCCAAUUAAUCUGUUUUAUGAUAGCAGGAUGAGCUCUGCUGGAUGAAAUAUGUAUGAGAGUCCUUCAGACGGCUCUGUCUUUAAAUAUUCUUUUCAUCCUACGCCGAGAGGAAGUGUGUCAGAUGUGUGUGUGUGUGUGUGUGUGUGUGGGUGUGUGUGUGUGUGUGUGUGGUACCUCUAGGAAGCUCUCACUCCUGGGUAGUGGGCUUCAUUCCCACACACACCCAUAACCAUAAACAUGCAUCAACAAGCAUCAAAUCUGUUGACCGCCCGUAUUUAGAAACAUACAAACGUUCCCUGCACAUUUCAUCUCUGAGCGCUAACACAACCGCCCUCGAGACGCACACAAACAAACGCACCCAGCGGAGCGGUUGCAGUGUCUCAGGCCGAGUGAUCAAUCGAUCUUGAUUUCAUCUAAAGCCAAUAAUGGGAGCGGAUCCAGCGUGUGUGUGUGUGUGUGUGUGUGUGUGUGUGUGUGUGUGUGUGUGUGCAGGCAGGGUAAUCGUUGUGUUUAGUUGUGUUUAGUUACACCCUGCCGCCGUCUCCCCCGGCCCUGCUGCUGUUUGUGAGUCUGCACCGUAUGUGUGUAUAUAGGGACUAAUCCUGUUUGUAUUGGAGCAUUAUCGCUGUUGUGCGCUCGUAUAUAAUGGGUUUGCUGGUGUCACUGUGCAGAACCCUGUCCUCUUUGACCACGCGCCCGGACGCUCACGCUGCCAUUAAAGCGCUUUUCUAGUUACUCGAACUGAAAUGAGCUUUAACAUGAGCCACCAGGAAACGAGGGCUUGUUUUAAAGCUCCCGUGUUGCAUCACACUGCAUGUAAGCGAUGUGAGGCUGCAGCUCGUCCCAGUAGGACUGGAGACCUUUUCCAUUUUCACUUUGAAACGUGCACAUACUGUGUUUGAAUUAACAUACAUUUGACUGUACCUCCAACGUCUGGGACUCGCGUUGUCACGUGUGUGUUCAAGGUGCGAGUGGAGGCGUCGGGAGGAGGCACAGCUUGUUUUAUAGAGCUGCCUAAUGUGCUUAAAAGAAAACACAGAUGUGCCAUGAUCUGAAUACAUAAAGCAGAGAGAGCAGGAGACUCAUAAACGCGCCGCAAUAAUUCUGAUAGCGCUACUUUGUAGCUUAAUUGUUGAAUGAAUCCCUGAAGAACAAACAGUCCUGAAUUGCACACGUUGUAAUUACGCCGGGUUUCUAACUUUCGCGUUACUGCUGCAUCAACAGUAAGAGGAAGGAAUUCAGGAACAUCACUGGUUUAUUUAUCGCUUUGUUUAAACAUCAGCUUUUGAAGAAACCCGAUUAAGUUUGCGUUCACCUCCUCGUCCUGCAUUAGGUCCAUCAUUGUGUGAUUGUGCAGUUCUGACCAGUGAGCCAGAAAGACUCUGAUUCCCUGAUCCUCUUAUCGCUCCUCCAUAUUUAUAAAUCCCACAUCUAGCUCUGUUUUUAUAUUCCCCGGGUUCUGCUCUGUAAACUUCCACAUGCUCCAGUGUUUCCUUUGAGUGUGUGUGUGUGUGUGUGUGUGUGUGUGUGUGUGUGUGUGUGUGUGUGUGUGUGUGUGUGUGUGUGUGUGUGUGUGUGUGUGUGUGUGCGUGCGUGUGUGUGUGUGUGUGUGUGUGUCUGGCAUUAUGCUUUAAUUUCCAUGGAAUUAGGUUGCAGGAGAUUGGCCAGAAUGAGAUGGGAGAUUCUGAGGUUCCAGCCAAUAGAGCAACUGGUACUUUUCACACACACCUUCACAGACCUUUAGAUCCCCUCCUUCAUGCUGCUUCAAGCUUCUGUUUACUGUACAAUGUGGGGUGGAAACUUAGCUCGGCUGCCAUUAAAACGCAGGUGUUGGGAAGUGAUUUCAAAAACACUCAGGCACUGCUGAUGUGGAAAAAAAGCUUAAGGCAGGAAUGUUGAGGAUCUCCAUUAUCUUAUCCCCAAAAGCGAUUACACGUCGUUCCCAAAGUGGCACCAGUGGAACGGUCACAACAAAAUGCACCUUCCUAAAGUGUGUCUGAUUUGAACUGGCCCAAUAAAAGCCUUUUCCAAUAUCCCUCCCACAGCUGGGGCCCUGCUGCCGCAUCAGCCGGCAGACAUGCAGAGCUCCCUCACACCAGGUAAUGGCCGAGGCAAACACGGCGGGAGGCGCGAGGCCGGUGGAGGGGGCGGAGACGCUCAAACCCGCUCAAACAGCGCAUGUUCACACCCUGGGACCGGAGACAGGAGCUACUGUAUGUGAGCGAUGGGGGGGUUCAUUUCAAGCCCAAUCAAAGGCAGAGCGCUUCCUUUCUCAGCCUUAACAGCCACUUACGUCUGUCUGCGUGUUAAAGUCUUGGCUUCUCUGCGACUGGGACCCUUUAAAUGAUAAUAUACAAGCAUAUAUUUUCAGUCCAAAGCAAUAUCUUUGACUGAUAUCUUGGACAACGCUCUGAAGAAUGAGCCGCUCUUCCUGUGCUUCCCAGCAGCUGUCAUCGUCGCGUCAGAGGAGCAAAGCGGCGACCGAUCGUUAAUUAGGAGCUGGGGCCAAAAAGUAAAAGCUGGAUGAACAGGUCCUCCCAACGCAGUGAAGAGGCUUCAGAUGCGGACGGAGGAAACGCUGAUGCGGCGCUCGCCGCUGGUCAGACAGCAGUUACUUAACCCUCGGCUCCGUCAUUCCUGAAUGUUAACAAAUGCCCCACUUCAAUGUGGCAGCUGCCAAUAAAGAUGAUGAGUUUGAUCUGUCUCCUUUAGCACAGACGCAGCCUCUGCGCCUGUAAUAACCUGCUGCAUCAUUACUUGAGAUUAAUAGGGCUGUUAAUACGGUCGUUGAGCUGCCGACUGAAAUAUGGGCGACGCUUGUCAGCGGAGAUGGCGCUUUUGGACGCCGUGACACUGCUCCGGUGUCAGAGUUAUCGGUGCAACUGGUGCCGUUAGGAGGUAACAGCAUCCUGUGGCAUUUACACAUCACUGGUUUUCCACCUAUGAAUCCUGGGCUCUCCUGUCCAGUCAUGCAGAGUUCUGUCAGUGUAGAUUAGAUGAAGCUCUAGACUUCCUGUGUUUAUUUGAGUUGAGUUUAUGCAUCAGCAGGAUGUGACGGAGGAGGCGUGACCUCUGGCUAUAAUGAGUAUGAGCACACGAGUGAUGAGGUCACUAUUACUCGUGGAUGUGAAGAGCUGAACCUUAUUCUAUUUGCCAGAGUGGAUGUAAAACUGGCCUCUGUUCAUUGCUAAAUACAGUAUGUGAGGAACAGAACGAUCCAGAUGAGGAGGAAUAACUCCUCCACAGUUUGGAGCCACUCAGAGGAAGCAGUGAUUCAGAUGUUUUACAUAACGACGCAUGUUUUCUAAGAACAGGUUCUUAUGUGUAGCAACAGUCUGGGGGAGCAGUUUGUGCUCAGCCAAUCAGCCUUUAAAUCACCGGAUGCAGCUGCUCUUGGCCUCAUUCACUCCUGCCCUCGGCCCAAAGCGGCAGCGCCGUCCGAACGCGAGCGGCAGCUUCUGCUUCACUGCGUCAUAAACGCAGCGCGCGUGGACGUUCCUGCGGAGCUAAAAGUUUACUGUGGUUGUGAAGCCGACGCCUUCUAUAAGUCCUGGAGUUUCACCCAGAUUAUAUAGUGGCGGAGGUUGGAGGGCGGUCAUGGGCUGUCAGUUUUACAGGUGCUGGAUAAAAUAAUGAUGAUGGUAAUGGAAGGAAGAGUCAGGGGUCAGUGCAGUUGUGGGCAAGCGGCGUCCGGGUAAAUAGCAAAUGGUCUGCACUGAUAUAGAGCUUUUCUGCCUAAUUGCACUUGAAGCACUUUCCACUCAGCGGUGAGAGAGCGGCCGUGCACCUGGCCUCACUCACCUCAGGGAACGUGGGUCCAUCUCCUUGCCCAAGGGCAGGUGCCAAGGUUUGGAGGAGCCAGGUAUCGAACUACCAACCCUCAUUCAGGUCCAAUCUGAUCACAUUUGGCCUCAGUCCGUCCGCUACAUGUACGUUUUGAUUUGUGCCAGAUCGUGAUGCGGAAAGUCACUCAAAUGAAGGAAUGUUUGAUGUGGACAACCACUGAUAUCGCCAUAGCAACAGGACUGGCACCAGUAGUCCGCUGGCGGCGUCUCGGCGUCCAAUAGAAGGAGGAGAUGCAGUGUUUCAUAAAAGCGAUGCAGCUUCACGUGAGACGCCGUUUUCACCCGCUGAGGGCGGCGUCAUGGUGAGAAUCAGCUGUUAAUGGUUCAGGUCUGUCCAGGCCAAGUAUAAAUCAUACAAAUCAGGCUCAGAGUGACUUUACAUUUAUUUUAAAAGUCACCUCUAUUGAUCCAAAAAUACACAGUUGUCAUUCACCCUGAACAGAGCUUCCAACCGUCUCUUUCAAGUCCGUCUCUCGGCUGGAAUUAAUCCGUCUCCUCUGUAACUGAGAUUAUAGAGGAAUAAUCGUCUGCUUCUGUCUCCCGCUGUCACGGCUCUGAUUGGACGAGCGCUGGACGUGGAGCCGCGUGUCCUCGUCGUCUCCGUCAGGCUUUCGCUAAGUGACGGCGUCUGUCAGCAUUGUACGCGAUCAGUCAGUGGCUCCUGCGUUGCUCAACGCUUCUCCACAGGCGUGGGACAAACUGAGCGCCUGAUAAUCAGUAACAGACAGGCCGGUCAGGAUGCGCGGGUUCAGGCAGGGCCCCCCGCGGUGCCGGCUCACAGGACGGCCUCCCUCUCAGCAGGGGGUGGCGGUUUUCCACCAGAGUGAAGGUGUGCAUGGUUUUGGAUCGGUGGCUGGAUUUGGGGUUUGUCUCACUGCAUCGUGUGUGUGAGGCUGUUUCUGCUUCUUUGAUACGGUUCUAUUAUCACCCACUUUAAAGCGUAGUCAUUUGUUCAUUUUUUUCAAGGUAUAGACUUAAAACAUUUAAUGCAAAUAGCUGGAAAGCAAAGAUAUUCAUAAAUAUUGAUCGCAUUAGGAUACUAAUUUCCAAAGUUAUGGAUCCCUCAGGGACUUCACGAAGGGCACAGAUGACUUAAAGCGAGUGAAGAGAUGUAUUUCAAGCACGCGCAUUUAUGCUGAUGCUCAUACAUCUCAUGGAAAUAAUGGAAACUCGCCGCCUUUGGGCUUCCUCGAAUAAUUGAUGAAGUGCAAAUGGUCUGAAAAUGAAAAAUAUUUGUGUUCACUUGUUCUUCAACAGAAGGUCAGGUGUAGGUGUUACAGUAAUUCACCACAUAAAUAAUAACGGGCUCGCGGAGGAUGCGGUUUAUUUAUUUUCAUAAAAACAAUUGACAUUUUUUAAAACAGUGACUGUGAAACGGUGACUGACUGGACAAACGUACCGUAUGAUGAUGUAAACUCUGUUUGCCUUGUGGUUCCCACCUUGUGUCCUCACUGACUGAGUGUUGGAGGCUGGUUAGUGCUUCACUCCCGUCCAGUUAGAGCGUCCAGUAGGUGCUUGUGGCGCUGACAAACAGUUUCAUGCACAUUCAGUUGGAAUUUAUCUGCUGGCAGAAGUUCAAGCAGAGCUUAAAUCAAGGGAAACCGUCUGUGCCCUUAUGAGAGGAGCUUUUGCAGGCCUCACUAUUCUUACAUUCGACUGAUGUCUCCUCUUUUAUCCAGUAACGACAGUCUGAAAAUAGACAUUAACAGCUUCUGAUUAAUUUGUUUAAAACAUGAAAACUACUUAAAAGUAGAAUUUGUUCCAGGACUAAUAAAUCCCAGUAAAGGUCUGAAAGUGGCCCAGGUUCUCCAGGCCUGCAUGAAUCACACUAUAUUAUCAGUGCUAGCAAAGUAAAUUCAUUAAGUCUGUGGACUGUUCAGCUGAAAUUAAUCACGACGAGCCAGGAGGAACGAACAUGCUGCUAUAGAAGCGUGUGCAUGUUUAUCCGCGGAGGGCGCCGCUCAUCAAAAUGACACUUUGCAUUAAUGCUGCGUGGAGCCUUUAAAGCUGCAUGGGGCCAUUUGCUGCGGUGAAGCUCAUCAAUAGCAAUUUCCUUGAACACAGAAAGGCAGGAAGGACUCGACGCACCACACGAACCGCCGGCACCGUUGUUCCUGCUAAACUAAGCACGGCACACGCGCGGUCGCCCUCAGCCUCCUCUGAGCGCCAUUGGAAAUCAUUGGUGAUUGGCUCCUAUUGUUAAAGGCUGAGUCAAGCACCAGCCUGUGAGCUGCAAGGUGAUAAAUGGCAAAAUAAAGAGAUAUUUACCCCAUGACAACUCCUUUUCAAUUAAAGCCAAACACUUGUGAUUUUCAGCAUUAUCAGCAGCAAUAAUUGUUUGGUUAACGCUCCAUUAGCAGAGACAGCGUUGUGCUGUUUGUACAAGUGGAGCGAUUUAGACUUCCAUUGUUGUCACUCAGGGGAAACAGGAAGGACUCGAAUCAUCCGACAUCAAUUUAAUUAUAGUUCAGGGCGCGCUGUCUCCUGAGUGGCCUGUGCUAGCGCGGCUGUGACUGACACGAAACUGAGUUUAGCUACGUUUGCAGAUGUUUGGAGUGUAAAUAUGGUCACACACAGAAAAACACUAGUUCUGGUUAAGGACAAUAACUCCCUGUCUUAAUUAGCAAACCCUACGACUCCGGCGCUGACGCGCGCCAUCGCUUCGAUUAGCAGCGGCAGUAGCUUCACGGCUCGCUGUUUUAAUAGGCUUUUGAAAAGCAGCGGGCGAACACGACUGGGCGGAAGCGGAGCUCCGCGGCAGGUGAAAGAGCGAGAAGAGUGUGAACGGGGAAGAGGUAGCGUUAGCGCAGCCUUUAUCCUUUAAAUAAACAGCGGCGGGAGGCUGUGAUGACGGGGCGCGUGAGUGCUGAAGGUGGGAGCACUUUAAGUACCGCCGGUGGUGCUGGCCGCUAAUGGAAUUCAGCUUAGUGAUCAGCCACAGCGGGACCUCUGCCACUAUGGGUGUCACCCCGGCUCGUUCAUGAAUUAUUUAUGGCCGAGCCUAUAAAAUCACAUCCUUAGAAUUACAGAUUAAAAGACCAGAGGCGGCGGGUGAGACAGGGAAAAGGAGGAGGAGGACCUGAUCCCUCACCUGUGUCUCCGUGUGCUGCCUUUCGCUUUGCACCCGUUCACCGUCCGAACCUGGUCAUCCCGCCAGUCUGCAGCUAGCUUUACCGCUUCCUCCCGCUGCAGACGUGCAGCCAGCGUCAGCACUUUCAUGAACCUGACCUCCAGGUGAGACGCGUGACAGCUGUGUGUUUAUGGAACAUCCAGCGGCCGUCUCAUCGCAGGCUCGCUCGCCCCCCGCGGUGCCGGCGAGUCGGGCCGGCGGGGACAGAUGUGCCGCGUUUUCGGAGGGGGCCGUUUAUUACAGUCGACCGGUGGCGGGAACCUGAGAGAGAAGUGGGUGUAAACAUUUACUCUGCUUGUUAAAUGUGAGUGGUUCAAGUUUAGGAGGCGUUUUUCCCGCUCCCUCCUCGCUCACAGGCGCUUUACAGUGUGAAUGAACAGAGCUCACGCGACAAACACGCAGAUAUACUGUGAAGACGCCAACAUGGAGGCAUUCAGGAGCAGGUUCUGAGGAGCGCUGCUACGACUGUGAGCAGGAAGCGAUUUGGAUUUAAUGAAGCUUCUGUUGUUUGUCACCGUCCCCAGUCUGCGGGGAGGGCGCCUGAACAGAGUGGGCUAGUGCAGCACAUCUGUUCAGAAGGCGCUAGUAAUGAAGAGUAAACAAACCUCUGACAAAUUGAUCAUGAAAUUACUACAAUUAUGGUAAUUUUUUGUCUUCUGUUGCUUUGUUUGCUUGCUGCUGCUCUUUAAAAUUCUUCCAUAGUUGCAGAGACGCUACGGGCGAAUCCUCCGAAGGACAGGACCCACAGCUAACGGUGGACCGACGGUGGACACGCUGCAAAUGGACUGCUGCAAAAUAACAUCACAACUGCCAGGAGGUUCUGAGGGAGCGCUCCGUUCUGUCAGACGCUGGAAUGGAACAAUACAUACGUGAUUAGGAGGACGCGAAGCCCCAAUGAAUAUCCAGAAGACGGAUUAUGGUGGAACUGUUCACAUACAUCAAGAAACUAAUUAGGGCCGUGUCUCAGUUUUCUUUUCUGUCAGCAUUUUAUUGCAAAAUAAAACUACUGCAAAUAGUG